GAUCCUGGCUCAGGAUGAACGCUAUCUACAGGCUUAACACAUGCAAGUCGAGGGGAAACGACAUCGAAAGCUUGCUUUUGAUGGGCGUCGACCGGCGCACGGGUGAGUAACGCGUAUCCAACCUGCCUACCACUUGGGGAUAACCUUGCGAAAGUAAGACUAAUGCCCAAUGAUAUCCCACGAAGGCAUUCGAAUGGGAUUAAAGAUUUAUCGGUGAUGGAUGGGGAUGCGUCUGAUUAG
rnacentral:rRNA from 1 species